rnacentral:lncRNA from 1 species
UGACAAUAAAAUACAGAGCACAUUUUUAAGUUACUCGGAUAACGGCGUCACAAAUCACUAUAUGAAUAUAAACCCAUUACACAUUAUAUGAUGAAAAAAGUCAAACAUAAAACAUUAUCAGCUGCUGCUACUGAUAUGGUAUGCAUGUAUAAUUUAAUAAAGCAGACCCUUUUAUGACUUUAUGGUGAUUAAAAUAUAUGUGUUUUUUUUUUUUGUGAAUUCACAAUGAACAUAUUUAUAUAUUUUAAAUGCACAUGAAAAAUGCAUUUUUAGACCGUCCCCCCGUGUUCUUCAAAUGCAGUGAAUAGAGGAAAUAAGGAAUGAUCAUUCUACAUAAAUUAUUAUCUAAGCGGAAAUUCAUGGAUACGUCAUGGACUUGAUACACACUCACUCAUCAUAAAAAACUCUCGUUUCUACAUGCUACAUGUACAAUAUACAAGGUGAACUUGAAUCCAAGCAACAUGAACAUUGCGACAUUGAGUUUGACCAAACACUCUCUCUCAAACACAUAAAUCAGAUAGAAGACAUGGAUCGACAUUCAGACUACAUGACGAAAUACUUGAUCUUUGGAGGUGGAAUUAUACUCAUUGCAAUAGCGGUUUUUCUCCUCAUAAUGAAAUAUUCGAGUCUGAUUUAAAUUGAUCCUUGGAUAAUGCUCUCUUUAAAUGCUGUUUUUCACUUUUUCUUAUACAUAUAUAAUAUAAAAGUUUCUAGUUUGUUAUUUUAUGACUCGAUAUACCUUCAAUUGAUAUAUUAAGUAUUUUUAAUAUCCUUGUGUUAUGUUAUUUCUAAGGAGUAAAAUGUAUUCAAGUAUCCUUUUACAA